AUCUCAUGGUGUGGAAAAUUUCUCAAUAACUCCUUCAAUAUCUCCCAAGAUUCACAAAAUGAUUCAUCUUCCAGCUGCUGAAAAGACAUGAUUUCAUUGUGAAACU